CCACAAGGCUGGAAAGGGCUACGGGGAAAUUGCCAAGCAGCUUGGUGAAAUCAACACCCUGCAGCAAGCACUCAGCAGGUGGUCCAUGUACCGAGCUGACAGCAAUUCUCUUACUUUGUUGUCCUUGGUCAAAGCCCAAACAACGUUGAUUCCCACGGCUACAUGUGCGGCUCCCACAUCAGGACUGGGAGAAUCCACCUCUGCCCAGGAAUGAGCUGGCGUACCUUUGGGGCAGUCUCGGACGAUGCCCUCUCUGACAAUGAGCUGCCCCUCCCACAGCACUGCCC